CAGGCAUGAGCCACCAUGCCUGGCCAGAUACAGAUAUAUUUUUAAGGAAAAAUACUGGAAGAGUAAUCAGCAAACGUUAAAAAUAGCCCUGUAGGGCAGAUGAAGCCACCUACACACCACCUCCCAGCCUUUGCCCUGACCGUUCCUUUGCCUUGAAUGGCAAUCUCUUCUCUGCCUCUGCAAAUUAUAACCUGCCGAGGAAACAUCCCGCUCCUUCUGGGCUCUUGCAGACCUCACGAACCAGCUAUCUCUGCCGUGGGAAGAUGCUCUCUGGACCGCCUGACAUUGCCACUAAUGACCGAGGACCCCAGCUGGAUCUGAAAUAUCCAUCUCCUCUCACCCCUCAGAGCCACCGCAAGCUUGGACUGUGACCUGCUGGGUUCCAGAGAGGGCAAGUCUUCCUCCAGUAGAAGUCCGUGGCUCCAUGUCAGUGGUUCUAAGAGGCUUCUUCCAAAGGCUACAUUUCUUCUCAUAACUAUCCCAGUGCGGGCUCUCUAGGCCUGCCUAUUAUAUAUAAAUACACUUAACUUU